GAUGAAGAACGUAGCGAAAUGCGAUAAGUAAUGUGAAUUGCAGAAUUCAGUGAAUCAUCGAGUCUUUGAACGCACAUUGCGCCCCCUGGUAUUCCGGGGGGCAUGCCUGUCCGAGCGUCAUUGCCGCCCUCAAGCACGGCUUGUGUGUUGGGCCCCCGCCCCCCGGCUUCGGGGGGCGGGCCCGAAAGGCAGCGGCGGCACCGCGUCCGGUCCUCGAGCGUAUGGGGCUUCGUCACCCGCUCUGUAGGCCCGGCCGGCGCCCGCCGGCGACCCCAAUCAAUCUUUCCAGGUUGACCUCGGAUCAGGUAGGGAUACCCGCUGAACUUAAGCAUAUCAAUAGCGGAGGA
rnacentral:misc_RNA from 1 species